rnacentral:lncRNA from 1 species
CAUCACUUGCAUUAGCAUAUUUAAUUUUCUACAUUAGCAUUAGAAAAGAAAACAAAAAUAUUUGUUCAUUGCACUGCAUCAUAAAAUUGUAAGCCCCAUGUGAUUAUGCUCGUGGCAUAAAAUCCAUAAGUACAUUCACUGUGGUGGCAUAAAAAUAAAUAUAUUUCUGUCCUAUAAAAAUGAAAAUAUAAAAAUAAAUUUAUGAUCCUACCAAAGAGAGUAAUAUUUAUUAGAGGAAGCUCAACAUGAUAAAGGCAAAGAGAUUUUAUGCUAACACUUAACCAGUUCCACAAAGCUUUGUUGUCUAUUUGAGCUCCACAGAAUUUAAGGAUCAAAGAAGACUAGCAGACGGAGGACAACCUAAUCGCUGUCAGGGUGCUACCGACAUUAAAAUACACCUCUGCCACCUGCUAGCUACAUCAGAAGAAAUUACGUCAAAAUCCAGCUUGGGGGAGAGCACCCCCAUUUACCCAGCUAAGUGUUUCUACUCGCGUUUAUACUUUACUCAAAUAAUAAAAAGAUGCAUAAUCAUAAAAAAACCCAAAUAAAGAUUUUUAUACUUUUAUAUAUAUAUAUAUAUAUAUAUAUAUCUUUGCUUAGUUUGCUAAAUAAAUAAAUAAAUAAAGUUUGCUAUGAACCCUCAUGAUAAGCUCUCACAUGGAUAUGAUGAAUAGUUGUUCUGCCAUGACUAGUUCUUAAAAUUGAAUUCUCUCUCAAGUUUAGGCAUGAUUGUUAUGAAUUAAGAUUUGCUCUAAACCUGAACUUGUGGGAAGAGUGCUUGAUCUAAAGUCUAAGUCGUUAACGGAUAUGAUAUGGGAAGGUUGAGCUGUUGUUUAUUUGUUCCUAGAGAUGCUAGAAUUCUAGAGAAUUUUAUCUUUCAAAAUCUUUAAAAUGUUGCAUGAUGAGUUCUUGUAUGAUGAGAGUUUAAAAUCCUACCACAGCCAUAUAUACAUGCUUAUUAGACUAUGAACCAUACAUUUACUUUUUACUGCUUAUGAGCAUUGAGUGUGGUCAAGCUGUGUAGACCCUUGGGAGCUUGUCAUGUGGUUAAAAUCAAGAUUCACUUGCACGUUCACUCAUAAAUGCUGCUUCUACUCCGAAAGUACGCAUCUACAUACAUCCAUUCAUUUCCAUCUCCAGAUUCACAUAAAAUUAUUCUACUCCUAUCCGGGAGAGAAUAGCCAAAAACAUUAUCCUAUCCUUGUUAUUCCCCGUGAAAUAAAUGCUCUUGAUAUUUUGGUUACUACCACUUGCUACAUUAUUCUAGGAGGGUGAGUGCUCUGAAAAAAAAGAGAAAAAAAAUACGAGGAAAUAAAAAGGGGCAAGUGCCCGGAACCUCGAAGGAAAAAAAGAGUGAGACGAGAGGUAAAAAUGGACAAGUGUCCGACAGUAGAAUUAGGGGUACAAGAUACCCACCUGAGAGAAAAGAAAAAAAAGAAAAAGAAAAUAUAGAGCAUCUCAUUCCCCUCAAACUUCAAAGUGCAAGAAAGGUAUGUAUCCCCUCAAAAGAGCAAACGUAGAAUUAGACUUUCACCAUUGUUUUCAUCAUUAUCACCAUUAUCACCGUACACCAUUCAUUCACCACACAUGCACAUCUUGAUUUGACUUAUUGACUUGUUUCAUGGAUCUAUGGUUUGACUAUGCAAUAAAUGUCUUGUAAGUAUGUAUCAGCUGUCUCCCACCUAUGAGCUCCAGAUAUCAAAACCUUAUUAGAGUAGGGUGAGAGAGAAGGCAAUGUCACUAUGCCUUAUACCAAAAAUACCACAUACCUUGAGAGAAGGCAUAUAUCAUCACUGCCUUGGUAAGGAUCCAGAAAUACCACAAAAGAGAGAAUUGAGAGAGUCAUACAAGGAAUCUCUGAGUUUUAUUUGAAAAUCUACAAAAAACUCCAGAGCUAUAGUUGAUCAAAGAACAAGAGACAUGGUGCUUGACUUGAACGUUCUAUCUUUUAACUGCUCAAGACACAAGUGACGGUUGCAAGCCCCAUGGUGGAAGGUAAUAUGAGUAAGUUUAAGUCUUAACAAUUUACCUUAACCUAGAGAUGAGAUCUUGUUUGAACGCAUGUGUACCUUUAAGGCAUAAAAUCACUGCAGAAACUCUUGAGUCCAUCCUUGCUCAGGGACGAGCAAGAGGUAAGCUUGGGGGAGUUGUUGACGGUCCUUAAGUACCAAAUAUAAUCAUCAAAUAAAUAAAGAAAAGGAUCCAAAUACAACCAACACCCAGACUUAGGGUUUUAUCUGACAGAAUUCCACAAGUUUUGGUGUUUCUCUAUUUCUGCACGGGGUUAUCAGGAAAUAUGGAGAGAAGGCCCACACGUCAGGUUUACAUAGAGAUAUUAACGUGCCGCGCAAUUUUCUAUCAUCUAGAAGACUCUAGAAGCAACGGGAACGAACGGGAGGCCGAGCGGGCUCGGGGGCAGGGCGCCCGCCCUCCCCCCCUUGGGCGCCCGCCCAGCUACAGAGUUGGAUCAGGACUCUCUUUUGGGAUGAUGUUCCACCGACCUAAAGGAUCAAGGAUAACCGUUCAAUCAAUGUCGGUUUGAUCCAACGGCCCAGGUUCACUUGAGGGGACUAUAAAACCAGACCCCCUGGCCCCUGGAGGAGGCACCCCUUGAUCAUUAUUUAUUAUUCAUAGACAGAGAAAAAGCUAGGGUUUAGAGAUGAGAGCUCUCCUCUCUUCUCUAAACUAGAGUAGAUCUAGAUAGUAGCAAGAUGGAGAGCGAAGGAGGAUUAGAGGAGAGGCCGGCCUAUCGGUUCUUCCUCCGGUUGUACUUCGUCAUGAUCAAGCUCUAAUCAAGCUUGCUUAUGGGAUGACUCUGGUAAUCUACUUCUAAUUCAUUAUGCAAUUACUAAUCAUGUAUGUUCUGGUUCACAACUCUUUUGAGUACUUCUAAUCUAUAGGACCCUAUAGGUUAGAGUUGUAGUAUAGGUGUAAGCGUGGUGCUUAGACCUAGAUUACUUGUGGAUAUCCCCUGUCUAGCUGGAUCGUGUGGUAGGCCGCGUAGGUGACAGUUACGUUGGUCCUCUGUAGUCCACCUCUCGUUAGCAGGACGGGUAGGGUUUAUCGGCCUAUGGAUAAGCAUCCUUUGUGGUGUAAUCUUAUCACGUGGUUCGUCCUAGACAUAGACAUACCCCUUUGAAGUAGAGAAACCAUAGUUACCCUCUCUAUUCUCCAACCAUCGCCCAUAUACUAGAAUUGCUCUACUCUCUAUUCCCAUAUUAUCACUCACUUUUAUCUUACCUUUAAUAUUGUUCUUAUUCAAUUCUAUCAUCUUUCCUAUUUACACCUAUUUACUUAUCUAGGUUGAGUUAGAGCGUAGAUCAGUUCUCCCGUUUCCCUGUGGAUACGAUAAAACCUUUAACCGGGUAAAAGCUUCAACGGUAUCCGUGCGCUUGCGGAUUAUCUGUGUGC